GUCAAUGCGGUGGUGUAAAGGUUGGGUGAGAACUGGACGUGUUGCAUCAUUAUCAAGCAGACCCAUCCCCAGCAACAUCAACCUAAAGAAGGAAAGCCCAGUUUGCAUUUCCUUCACUUUCGAAGGUCACAGAGAUCAUUACGAAAAACGUGCCAUGUGACGGCGGAGAGGUUGGGUGAGAACGACACGUGUAACAUCAUUAUCAAGCAGGUUCAAAAGCCGCAAGGCUUUAGAGGUGGGUCAGGGUGAGAAAAAGUCUUAUAAAAGGAGAGAGAAGAGACGAUUAAAAUCAGUCGAGUGAGGAUCUCCGACACGGUAACAACUGCAGCGCUCUUGCAUUUUUCAAUGUAAUUAGUUCGCAAUCUCUGUAAUCUAUGGCGUUGUGCUGCUGCAUUGGGUGUUGAAUCAUUGAUGAUUGGGUCGACCACUGGUGUACUGAUGUCUCCUGGCCCUGUGUAGUGUAUGGUUGAUAUCAAAGCACAACAUUGCUGUCUUAUUACUCAACAUCAACCAAUGCUGUUCCAGCUUACACCACCAAGGCUCCAAUGUACUACACCACCAAGGCUUUAGAGUAUUACAAGUUGCAUUAAAGGGGAGAAAAAAAGGCUUUUCCGACCCGACAACAACUGCCGUGCACAAUUUGUCACCAACUGCCUUUUCAUCGUAUAAAGGGUAAACUGUGGCGUCGGAUCAAAUACUACACCAACGAGGCUUCAAAGUAUUACACUACAAUUUAUGCUGCUUCGAGAUGUAUCACCAAAGAGCCCGAACCCAUCCCCGGCAACAUCAACCUGCAGAUGGGCCGACCAUUACGUAAAACUGUCAAUGCGGUGAUGUAGAGGUUGGGCGAGAACGGGAAGUGUUUGCUUCAUUAUCAAGCAGGUAUAAUAGCCGUAAGGCUUAAGAGAGGGGUCAGGGUGAGAAAAAGUCGUAUAAAUGGCAAGAGAAAAGUCGACAGCGAUCAGUCGAGUGAGUAUCUUCAACACAGCAACAACUGCAUCGCAAUAUUUGUCACCAACUGCCUUCUUCAUUGUACAACCAAUUCACAAUUUUGGGUGAACACUCAUCUUUAUUUCGAGUCGCGCCGUGCUGCUGUUUGGUGUUGUAUCGCUAAUGGUUGGGUCGACCACGGGUGUACCGAUGUCUCCUGGAUAUGGUGGAUACCAAGCAACAGCAGCGAAAGAAUACUACACCACGUCGCCGCCUUACUACACAACAACGUCUAGAUACGCAUCAUCUACUAACUACGCCGAGGCCCUCAAGUGCAACACCACCAAGGAACAAUAGUUACGCUACAAAUUACGCUGCCCCGAGUUGAUCACCAAAGCGCCUGAGUACUACAUCACCGAGGCUCCCAAGUACUACACCACCGAGUAUUCUGUCCCAGCCUACUACACCGCGGUCCCCAAGUACUACACGACUACGAAUGCUUCCUCAGCCUACUACACCGAGGCUCUAACUUAUUUCAAUACCACAGCGGUCGAGUACUACACCGAAUCACACAAGUACUACUCUGCCCCGAACUACACAACUACAACUUAGGCGGCGAAGUACUACUUAGCCCAGGCUUACAACACAGCAGCUGCUCCUUCGUACUACAUUGAACCGAAAUACUACACCGAGUAUUACACUACACCCAAAGGGAUUCAAGGCCAACGUUUCAUCGAGGCUCCUUAGUAUUAAACAGCAACCUACGCUGUUCCAUCUUAGGAAACAUGGUUAACCAUGGCUUCGUGCUCCUUGAUGGUUGGGUGGACCACUGGUGUACCGAUGUCUUCGAGUACGGUGGAUACUAAACCGCAACGCCGGCGUCUUACUACACAUCAACAUACGCAAUAACCGGAUGCUACACCACCAACACCCUAGAGUGUCACACUGCAACAUAUGAUUCCCCGAACUUCUACACCGAAGCAUCAAAGUAUAACUAUGCCCAAAGUUACAGCACGAAGGCAGCGGAGUAGUACAGCACGAAGGCAGCGGAGUAGCACAGCGCGAAGGCAGCGGA